rnacentral:rRNA from 1 species
AUUGAACGCUGGCGGCAGGCCUAACACAUGCAAGUCGGACGAGCGGCGGACGGGUGAGUAAUGUCUGGGAAACUGCCUGAUGGAGGGGGAUAACUACUGGAAACGGUAGCUAAUACCGCAUACCAUCAGAUGAGCCCAUAUGGGAUUAGCUAGUAGGUGGGGUAACGGCUCACCUAGGCGACGAUCCCUAGCUGGUCUGAGAGGAUGAUCAGCCACACUGGGACGGAGACACGGCCCAGACUCCUACGGGAGUCAGCAGUGGGGAAUAUUGCACAAUGGGCGAAAGCCUGAUCCAGCCAUGCCGUGUGUGUGAAGAAGGCCUUCGGAUUGUAAAGUACUUUCAGUCGGGAGGCGUUACCAACAGAAUAAGCACCGGCUAACUCCGUGCCAGCAGCCGCGGUAAUAC